rnacentral:rRNA from 1 species
UGAUCCUGGCUCAGGAUGAACGCUAGCGGCAGGCUUAACACAUGCAAGUCGAGGGGUAACAUUGUAGCUUGCUACAGAUGACGACCGGCGCACGGGUGCGUAACGCGUAUAGAACUUACCUUUUACAGAGGGAUAGCCUUUAGAAAUGAAGAUUAAUACCUCAUAGUAUUAUUGAUUGGCAUCAAUUAAUAAUUAAAGAUUUAUCGGUAAAAGAUGGCUAUGCGUCCUAUUAGCUAGAUGGUAAGGUAAUGGCUUACCAUGGCUACGAUAGGUAGGGGCCCUGAGAGGGGGAUCCCCCACACUGGUACUGAGACACGGACCAGACUCCUACGGGAGGCAGCAGUGAGGAAUAUUGGGCAAUGGAGGUAACUCUGACCCAGCCAUGCCGCGUGCAGGAAGACUGCCCUAUGGGUUGUAAACUGCUUUUAUACAGGAAGAAACACUCGUACGUGUACGAGCUUGACGGUACUGUAAGAAUAAGGACCGGCUAACUCCGUGCCAGCAGCCGCGGUAAUACGGAGGGUCCGAGCGUUAUCCGGAAUCAUUGGGUUUAAAGGGUCCGCAGGCGGUCAAUUAAGUCAGAGGUGAAAUCCCAUAGCUUAACUAUGGAACUGCCUUUGAUACUGGUUGACUUGAGUCAUAUGGAAGUAGAUAGAAUGUGUAGUGUAGCGGUGAUAUGCAUAGAUAUUACACAGAAUACCGAUUGCGAAGGCAGUCUACUACGUAUGUACUGACGCUCAUGGACGAAAGCGUGGGGAGCGAACAGGAUUAGAUACCCUGGUAGU